UACGAAGGGGGCUAGCGUUGCUCGGAAUGACUGGGCGUAAAGGGCGCGUAGGCGGCUUGCACAGUCAGGCGUGAAAUUCCUGGGCUCAACCUGGGGACUGCGCUUGAGACGUGUGGGCUUGAGUGGGGAAGAGGGUCGUGGAAUUCCCAGUGUAGAGGUGAAAUUCGUAGAUAUGCGGAGGAACACCGAUGGCGAAGGCAGCCCCCUGGGCUAACACUGACGCUCAGGCACGAAAGCGUGGGGAGCAAACAGG
rnacentral:rRNA from 1 species